UUCAACCUACGUAUGAUGAUG
rnacentral:siRNA from 1 species